rnacentral:misc_RNA from 1 species
UUCGAAGAAACCCUAGAUCAAAAAUCUUGUUAAUCCAUGGAUGAUAGCUGUGCAGUCUGUGCUGAAACCCUUGAAUGGGUUGCCUAUGGAGCUUGCGGUCACAAAGAUGUUUGCUCUACCUGUGUUGCUCGUCUUCGAUUCAUCUGCGAUGAUCGCCGAUGUUGUAUUUGCAAAACUGAGGCUGAUGUUGUAUUUGUCACCAAGGCUUUAGGGGAUUAUACAAAUAUGAUUGGUGACUUUUCAGUAUUUCCAUUUGAACCAAAACAAGGCAAAAGUGGUUCUUAUUGGUAUCAUGAGGACACCCAGGCUUUCUUUGAUGAUUUUGACCAUUACAAGAUGAUCCUGG